rnacentral:misc_RNA from 1 species
UCUCCGUUGGUGAACCAGCGGAGGGAUCAUUAAAGAGUUGCAAAACUCCCUUCAUACCAUCGCGAACGUUACCUAAUUCUCGUUGCUUCGGCGGGAAGGCAUUCCCCUUUAAGCCUCCCCUAACCGGGGGCUCCCGCCGGAGGAACGCAGCUAUACUCUUGUAUUUAUUGGCCUCUCUGAGUACGAUUUAUGCAAAUAAGUCAAAACUUUCAACAACGGAUCUCUUGGUUCUG